UGGUGGAGUGAUUUGUCUGGUUAAUUCCGUUAACGAACGAGACCUUAACCUACUAAAUAGUUAUGCCAACCUUCUGAAUUAAGGUGAAGGGGGCGGCGUGUACGGUGGGCUCCGGUUUGCCGUGCCGUCCUCCCGGAUCCCUGAUGCGUUGGUAGAUACACUUCUUAGAGGGACUAUUCGAUCCGAAGCGAAUGGAAGUUUGAGGCGAUAACA
rnacentral:rRNA from 1 species